AAAGGAGAGCGCUGGGGCUAGUUGCAGGUUAGCAGAGACGGCGGCAGAGAAACAGACUAAUGACCCAGCACGAGGAGCCAGCUCUUCCACUAAAAUGGAGAGGUAUGAAAAGGUGAAGAAGAUCGGGGAAGGUUCGUUUGGAAAGGCGAUCCUCGUCAAAUCCAAAGAGGAUGGACACCAAUAUGUCAUCAAGGAGAUCGGCAUCUCUGCAAUGUCCAGUAAAGAGAGGCAGGAAUCUCGUAAAGAGGUGGCUGUCCUCGAGCCAUCCCAACAUCGUGCAGUACAAGG